GACGAAGGAUGCAAGCGUUAUCCGGAUUCAUUGGGGUUAAAGGGCGCGUAGGUGGUCUUAUAAGUCAGUGGUGAAAUCUCGCAGCUUAACUGCGAAACUGCCAUUGAUACUGUAGGACUUGAGUAUAGUUGCUGUGGGCGGAAUAUGACAUGUAGUGGUGAAAUACUUAGAGAUGUCAUAGAACACCGAUUGCGAAGGCAGCUCACAAAACUAUAACUGACACUGAGGCUCGAAAGUGCGGGGAUCAAACAGG
rnacentral:rRNA from 1 species